rnacentral:rRNA from 1 species
AUGUCGUCCGUCCAGUGCUCCGCCUGCGGCUCCCGCACCCAUCGCAGGAACCACUGCGCCGCCUCGCCUUGCUCACGCUGCGGGGGAAACGGCCACUUCGAGGCCCUCUGCACCACCCCCUCCGGCUUCGACUCCGUCAGCGCCACCCGCUGCGGCGUCUGCGGUGGCGCCGGCCACGCCGACGAAGACUGCGCCACCACGGAGACUGCCGACAUCCGGUGCGAGACCUGCGGCAAGCUGGGGCACCGGCCCAGGGACUGCCCCACACGCACCGGACGCCGCGACGACCCAUACGUCGCGUUUAGGGGCUACGACGCCUGCCAAUUCUGCGGUGAGCCGGGGCACUUCGCGCCCGCCUGCCCCCAACGGCGCGGGCGCAAGCAGGGCCAGAUCGUCUCAUUAGAAACCCUAGCCGCCGCGCGUGGAUCAGUUUUUCUCACACGGGCAACUAGAUCAAUCGAGAGCUACUCUACCCGCCCAACCAUGUCUGCGCCACGGCGACAGUGGGCCGAGCUCCCGUCGAAGCUCCUCGCGGGCGUCUCCGGCCGAAUGCACGAUCCCACCGACUUUGUCCGCUUCCACACCGUCUGCACCUCGUGGCGGGACUCGCUGCCCGAGAGGACCGCGCUCCGCCCCGUCCUCUUCCCCUGGCUCGUUGCCCCGCCGUCAGGCCGCCGAUUCUCCGUCGUCAGGCCCCGCUGCGUCUUCUCCAAGACAAGCUACCACGCAGAGGUAUCCUCGAGCUUCUACAAGCUCGGGUGGGUGGCGCGAGCCGAUGGCACGGAUUACUGGUUCUUCAGCGCACGGGACGGGCCUAAGCUCAUCGACCCUCUCACCGGAGACACCACCCCUCUGCCGCCUUUCCCGUUCGGUGAUAAACGGAAGAUGGUUGAGAAGUCCCGUGUCAACCCGGCAAUUCGACCCAUGGGUGGCCGCGCCCAUGGGCACCCGACCCGAAUGGGUAGGGUAUGGGUCGGCAUAUUCACCCAUGGAGAAGCCAACCCCGUCCUUCUCGCGCAGCCACACCCACAACGCACAAACCUAGCCGUCCUUCAGUCUCGCUCUCGCCCUCUCCCAGUCCCAUCGGCAAACCGCCGCCGCCGCCCACUGUCCCACGCCGUCGUAGGCUGCCGGAUCCCCGCGGCCGCCCCCCUGCAGGCCGCCUCCAUCCUUGCUAGAUCUACGACCAAGCACCACCUCCGCCUCCAUCCUCGCUGGAUCCGCAGCCAAGCACCACCGCCACUCGACGCCGCCGUCUCAGUCCUCAUUCUCCCUCGAGCAGCAGGCUCACCACGCCGGAGCAGCAACGACGCCACCUCUGCAUCGAUCCCGUCCAACCGGAGCAGCACCGCCGCCAUCCUCGUUCUUCCUCCAAGGCUUCACCGCACCGGACCAGCACCGAAGCCAUCAUCGCGCCGGAGUAGCACCGAGGCCAUCACCGCGCCCUCCUUCUGUCUCACCAAGAUGAGUUCACCAGUGGAUAGUUUCUCGGCGCCGGGAGUGGAAAGCUCAGCUGUGCAUGGAACUCAACAUGACAAGUCAUCCACUCCACAAGCAACAGAGGUCGUUGAGAGAGGGUUCAGGCUGGGGAGGAACAACAUAGCGUUUGAAAACAAUCAUUGCUUUGCCGCAUACCAUGAUGGCAAGAUCUUAGCGUGCGUGGACGGGGACCAUUGCAAUGACAUUUGGCACCUCCUAGCACCCUCGGCAGGUGGCGUCCACACCAGUGUCGUUGAGAGUGAGGACAUGUGGGGUCUCGACUCUAGCCACGUCCUUGAGUCCCAUGGCAAGCUGCUGCGAGUGUCCAUCCUGAAGCACGGGGUUGUGGUUUUGGUGCAUGCGCUAGAAGAAGAGGUGGGCACACACAACAGACGAAUGGUGCGGUGGGCGAGGAAGGACAGCCUGAGCUUCGCUGACCGUGUCAUGUUUCUAGGGUUCCCAAGCAGCUUCGCAGUAGAUGCCGCGAGCUUCCAUGGCGUGGAGGACGACUUGAUCGGUGGAUGUGUUUACUUCUUUCAGCGGUGGUCCGGUCAGGCGACGCUCGGCGUGUUCAGGCACAACCUUAUCGACUGCAAAACCAAGUUCAUGGAGUAUCUGCCAUCCAAAUGGAGCGAUCGUAAAAACGACGCGGGUAUGUGGCUCAUGGCCCGACCUGCCAUUGCUCCAGUCCAGCGCAGAGGAACAGACAGAAACGACUUGGCCAGCCAUGGCGCCUCGGGCAAGGCUUAG